rnacentral:piRNA from 1 species
CNGUAAUACAACAUUUGGGUCUACCGCUGC